UAGGGAAUCUUCCACAAUGGACGCAAGUCUGAUGGAGCAACGCCGCGUGAGUGAAGAAGGUUUCGGCUCGUAAAGCUCUGUUGUUAAAGAAGAACGUGGGUAAGAGUAACUGUUUACCCAGUGACGGUAUUUAACCAGAAAGCCACGGCUAACUACGUGCCAC
rnacentral:rRNA from 1 species